GACGAACGCUGGCGGCGUGCUUAACACAUGCAAGUCGAACGGAAAGGCCCUGCUUUUGUGGGGUGCUCGAGUGGCGAACGGGUGAGUAACACGUGAGUAACCUGCCCUUGAUUUUCGGAUAACUUCAGGAAACGGGGGCUAAUACCGUAUAGGAUCUCCUGCUCCAUGGUGGGGUUGGGAAGUUUGGGCGGUUGGGGAUGGAAUGGGGGGUUAUCCGCUUGUUGGGUGGGUAGUGGACUACCAAGGCCUUGACGGGUUGCCUGCCUGGGAGGGGUGCCAGGGACAAUGGGACUGAGGUACGGACCAGACGGGUACGGGAGGCAGCAGUGGGAAAUCUUGCCCAAUGGGCGGGAGCGUGAUGAAGAAACGCCGGGGGCGGGAUGACGGCCUUCGGGUAAAAAACCGCUUUCGCCUGUGACGAAGCGUGAGUGACGGUAAUGGGUAAAGAAGCACCGGCUAACUACGUG
rnacentral:rRNA from 1 species